ensembl:snRNA U6 U6 spliceosomal RNA
ACACUUCACCAAUGUGUUUGUCAAAACUGGAGCGAUGCAGAGAAGAUGGCAAGGUCCCUGUGCUAGGAUGCAUGCAAAUCCAUAAAGGGAUAUAAAUACAC